GGCUCCCAGAGGCUGAAUCACCAACCAAAGAGCAUGGGCUGAGUCUAGGCCUGUCCCUGCCACUCACAUAAAAGUAGCAGAUGUGCAGCUUGGUCUUCAUGUGGGACCCACAAACAGCUGGAGUGGGAGAUCACUCUGACUCUGCUGCCUGCCUGUGGAUCCUGUUCCCCUAUUUGGGCUGCCUUGCCUGGCCUCAAUGGGAGAGGACAUGCCUAGACCUGCAAUGACUUCAGGUGCCAGGGUCUUCUGUUGCAGUAGAAGCUUAUCAGGAAAAAGUCAUGGAAAACCUGAUGUACUACAGUGUGAGGAGGAAUCGAACGGACAUUCUCCUCAGCUUCCCUACACUCCUGAGAGCAAGGUCAUCUGGUCAGAGAACAGCAUUAUCUGUUCCUGAGGAUGCUCAUUUCAUUGCUACCCUCUGUGUACUGGGUCUCACUGAUGAAGUGUAUCUGGACAAUCUCAAGGCCAAAUGCCCAGCAUGCCUAGUUCUCCAGAACGAGGAGUGAGCAGAGACAACCCAUUCCAGGAGCUAGUCUCCACGCCCAUGUCUCCAACCCAUCCCAGGCCUGCACAAGCACACUCUCCAGGUGACCUCUGCUGCAGGUUACAUCCACCAUAGCUGUUCCCACUUCCUCACCACUGUGAAGAGGAAGUCUGAUAACAUUUUCUUCAUAUCAAAAGAGAGUCUUUCUCUUCUCAGGAAGGUUUUCUCAAUUCUGACUCUUCCUGUUGCCAUGGUGAUACUUAAGUGAUUCUUUGGACACCCUUAAAUAAACCGCCCAUUGUUGUAUAUG
rnacentral:lncRNA from 1 species